AGGACGAACGCUGGCGGCGUGCCUAACACAUGCAAGUCGAGCGGAGUCGGUAAGAGGAAGUUUCGGAUGGAAUCUUAUUGAUUUAGCGGCGGACGGGUGAGUAACGCGUGAGCGACCAACCUUGCACAGGGGGAUAACGGACCGAAAGGUUCACUAAUACCGCAUGAGACCACGGUGUUGCAUGACACAGAGGUCAAAGGAGCAAUCCGGUGCAAGACGGGCUCGCGUCCGAUUAGGUAGUUGAGGGGUAACGGCCCACCAAGCCUAUGAUCGGUAGCCGACCUGAGAGGGUGAUCGGCCACAUUGGAACUGAGAUACGGUCCAAACUCCUACGGGAGGCAGCAGUGGGGAAUAUUGGGACCAAUGGGGGAAACCCUGACCCAGCAACGCCGCGUGAAGGAAGAAGGUUUUCGGAUUGUAAACUUCUGUCCUUGGUGAAGAGAAGAAGACGGUAGCCAAGGAGGAACGCCCCGGCUAACUACGUGCCAGCCGCCGC
rnacentral:rRNA from 1 species